GAGAAUCAUGAAUUAGUACUCAAAAUCAAAAAAUAAAGUGAUUUGAAAUAGGAGUCAGAAACCCUAGUUUAAAGAGGAACAGAAAUCGUUAACAACUGGAAUAAUCGUAAAAAUCGAGUAAAAAUAGUUCAAAACAUUAAGGUGUGAGUUAAAAUUAUUAAGGAAAUCAGAGAUCUGAGAGGUUCGGGUUACGUUUAGGGUUUCAUAAGAAACUAGUAAGAGGGGUAAGAGAAACCUGGCCGUGAACCUCAAAGAUAAUGGUGUUUUUAGCAUCAUCGAACCAACGUCCAUUGGAGAAAGGCCAUAAUCGGCCACGACGAGACUUCAGUGACCAUCUUAGUGGCGGACUUCUGGGGUUUCAAACUUUGAAUCGAAGUAGCAAUAUAGGAUCCCAUGGUUGCUAGAGGUUGAGAGAAGUGAGGACGGAGCGUGGUCAGAGAGGCGAUGAAGCUCGUCGUAGAAUAAGGAGGAACUUGAUGGUUCUAGAGAGAAGGGAGAGGAAUCUUUAGUGAGAGAGUCAGAUAGAGAUAGAGAAUGGUCUCUGAGAAAUGAGGGGUCUGGGGGGUAGCCUUAGGAUUUAAUUUAGUCAAUUUGAU
rnacentral:lncRNA from 1 species